UGCUACACGUGGAAUUCCACCCCCUUCUGACACACUCUAGUCGUGCAGUCACAAAUGCAAUUCCCAGGUUAAGCCCGGGGAUUUCACACCUGUCUUACACAACCGCCUGCGCACGCUUUACGCCCAGUAAUUCCGAUUAACGCUUGCACCCUACGUAUUACCGCGGCUGCUGGCACGUAGUUAGCCGGUGCUUAUUCUUCAGGUACCGUCAUCCCCCUAGGGUAUUAGCCCAAAGGAUUUCUUCCCUGACAAAAGUGCUUUACAACCCGAAGGCCUUCUUCGCACACGCGGCAUUGCUGGAUCAGGGUUUCCCCCAUUGUCCAAAAUUCCCCACUGAUGCCUCCCGUAGGAGUCUGGGCCGUGUCUCAGUCCCAGUGUGGCUGAUCGUCCUCUCAGACCAGCUACUGAUCGUCGCCUUGGUAGGCCUUUACCCUACCAACUAGCUAAUCAGCCAUCGGCCGCUCCAAUAACGUGAGGUCUUGCGAUCCCCCACUUUCCCCCUCAGGGCGUAUGCGGUAUUAAUCCGGCUUUCGCCGAGAUAUCCCCCAUUACUGGGCACGUUCCGAUGUAUUACUC
rnacentral:rRNA from 1 species